GACGAACCGUGCGAACGUUGUUCGGAAUCACUGGGCUUAAAGGGCGCGUAGGCGGGCCACCAAGUCAGGGGUGAAAUCUUUCGGCUCAACCGGAAAAGUGCCUUUGAUACUGGUGGCCUCGAGGGAGGUAGGGGGUCUGCGGAACUUCCGGUGGAGCGGUGAAAUGCGUAGAUAUCGGAAGGAACGCCGGUGGCGAAAGCGGCGGACUGGACCUCUUCUGACGCUUGAGGCGCGA
rnacentral:rRNA from 1 species